UUUUUUGAGAGUUUGAUCCUGGCUCAGGAUGAACGCUAGCGGCGUGGAUAAGGCAUGCAAGUCAAGGGGGUUCCGCAAUUUGCGGGAUAACCGGCGAACGGGUUAGUAACACGUAGAUACUCACCUUAGAGUCUCGCAUAACUCCGCGAAAGCGGAGCUAAUUCGAGAUAGUUCCCGCAAGGGUAAAGAUCCGCCAAUUGGCGGAUUCGCUCUAAGAGCGGUCUGCGGCCUAUCAGCUUGUUGGUAAGGUAACGGCUUACCAAGGCUAUGACGGGUAGGGGACAUAAGAGUGUGUUCCCCAACAAUGGAACUGCGACACGGUCCAUACUCCUACGGGAGGCAGCAGUCGAGAAUAUUCGACAAUGGGCGAAAGCCUGAUCGAGCGACGCCGCGUGCUUGAAGAAGUUCUUCGGGAUGUAAAGAGCUUUUCUGGGGGAGGAAUCCGCCGGUUGGCGGAUGACAGUACUCCAGGAAUAAGGGGUUGCUAAUCACGUGCCAGAAGCAUCGGUAAUACGUGAGCCCCAAGCGUUAUCCGGAUUUAUUGGGCGUAAAGGGUUCGUAGGCGUUCUGCCGGGUUUUCUGUUAAAUCCUAAGGCUCAACCUUAGAAAUGCAGAAAAAACUUGCAGAAUAGAGGACGUCAGAGGCUGAUAGAACGGUCGGUGUAGGGGUGAAAUCCGUUGAUAUCGACCGGAAUACCAAAAGCGAAGGCAUUCAGCUGUGACGAUCCUGACGCUGAG
rnacentral:rRNA from 1 species